rnacentral:rRNA from 1 species
CCUACGGGAGGCAGCAGUGGGGAAUAUUGGACAAUGGGCGAAAGCCUGAUCCAGCAAUGCCGCGUGAGUGAUGAAGGCCUUCGGGUCGUAAAGCUCUUUUACCAGGGAUGAUAAUGACAGUACCUGGAGAAUAAGCUCCGGCUAACUCCGUGCCAGCAGCCGCGGUAAUACGGAGGGAGCUAGCGUUGUUCGGAAUUACUGGGCGUAAAGAGUACGUAGGCGGUUAUUCAAGUCAGAGGUGAAAGCCCGGGGCUCAACCCCGGAACUGCCUUUGAAACUAGAUAACUAGAGUCUUGGAGAGGUUAGUGGAAUUCCGAGUGUAGAGGUGAAAUUCGUAGAUAUUCGGAAGAACACCAGUGGCGAAGGCGACUAACUGGACAAGUACUGACGCUGAGGUACGAAAGCGUGGGGAGCAAACAGGAUUAGAUACCCUGGUAGUCCACGCCGUAAACGAUGAUAACUAGUUGUUCGGUCACUUGGUGACUGAGUGACGCAGCUAACGCAUUAAGUUAUCCGCCUGGGGAGUACGGUCGCAAGAUUAAAACUCAAAUGAAUUGACGGCUGGAGAGUUGCGAGCGACGACGAGGGAGAGG